AUCAUUGAUGAACUCCUGGAUGAACUUGCAGAUGCUUGUUGGUUCUCUAAAUUAGACCUAAGAUCGGGAUAUCACCAGAUCAGGUUGGCACCAGGAGAAGAGCAUAAAACUGCUUUCCAAACUCAUAUUGGUCAUUUUGAAUUUUUAGUGCUGUCAUUUGGCCUUACUAGUGGACCUAACACCUUCAAUUUUGGUAUGAAUGAUACCUUGGCUCCCUGCAUCAGGAAGUUUGUAUUGGUCUUUUUUGAUGACAUACUUGUGUUUAGUGCUUCCUAUGAAUUACACCUGCAGCACUUGGCUGAGGUACUGAAGCUCUUACUCCAACACCAUUGGUAG
rnacentral:rRNA from 1 species